GACAGAGGGUGCAAACGUUGUUCGGAAUUACUGGGCGUAAAGCGCGUGUAGGCGGCUAUGUAAGUCGGGCGUGAAAUCCCCACGGCUCAACCGUGGAAGUGCACCCGAAACUGCGUAGCUAGAGUCCUGGAGAGGAAGGUGGAAUGCUUGGUGUAGAGGUGAAAUUCGUAGAUAUCAAGCGGAACACCGGUGGCGAAGGC
rnacentral:rRNA from 1 species